GCCACGGUGGCACAACCUGGUUUCACAAGCCUAUGGCUUUAGGCCUUCCACCCACUAGGACAGCUUAGGGCUGCUGCAGGUGAAAGAAGGAUGUGACAGGAAACUGCGCAAGACUGGAAAUCUUGUUCCCGCAAGGGUAUCCCGGUUCAAAUCCGGGCCGUGGCG
rnacentral:tRNA from 1 species